UACGGAUGGUGCGAGCGUUAAUCGGAAUUACUGGGCGUAAAGCGCACGUAGGUGGUUUGUUAAGUCGGAUGUGAAAGCCCAGGGCUCAACCUUGGAAUUGCAUCCGAUACUGGCAGGCUAGAGUACGAGAGAGGGAGGUAGAAUUUCAGGUGUAGCGGUGAAAUGCGUAGAGAUCUGAAGGAAUACCGGUGGCGAAGGCGGCCUCCUGGCUUGAUACUGACACUGAGGUGCGAAAGCGUGGGGAGCAAACAGG
rnacentral:rRNA from 1 species